rnacentral:rRNA from 1 species
AUUGCACGCUGGCGGCAGGCCUAACACAUGCAAGUCGAACGAGUGGCGGACGGGUGAGUAAUGUCUGGGAAACUGCCUGAUGGAGGGGGAUAACUACUGGAAACGGUAGCUAAUACCGCAUACCAUCGGAUGUGCCCUGAUGGGAUUAGCUAGUAGGUGGGGUAAAGGCUCACCUAGGCGACGAUCCCUAGCUGGUCUGAGAGGAUGACCUGCCACACUGGAACUGUUACACUGUCCAGUCUCCGACGGGAGGCAGCAGUGGGGAAUAUUGCACGAUGGGCGCAAGCCUGAUGCAGCCAUGCCGCGUGUAUGAAGAAGGCCUUCGGGUUGUAAAGUACUUUCAGCGGGGAGGCGUGACCCGCAGAAGAAGCACCGGCUAACUCCGUGCCAGCAGCCGCGGUAAUAG